rnacentral:lncRNA from 1 species
UCUACCCCAUUUUUUGGCUACCAUUUUCCAAGCUUAAACUCUUUCUAUGGUGAAAAAAAUUUGACGAUGUCACAAACAAAAAGUGAAUUCUAGCGCCCAUAAAUUUUAAGCUUAAAUACUUUCACUUAUUUUGUUGUCCUUCUUCCUCCUCAAAAUAAUUUGAGAAAAUCAACAUAAAUUUCAAGAAGAAAAAAACACUCAGAAAUGGCAAGAAAUCAUAUUUUCAAUUAUCAAAUCCUACAUUCACAACAAACAAUUUUAGCGUUCCAAUCCAUUUGUAUGUCUUCUCACAUCAUAAUCACAGAAAAAGUCCAAAUAAAAAA